rnacentral:misc_RNA from 1 species
AAUGACCUUUUACCUUGUUUGACCUCAUUACCAGCAGGAUCUCAACUGCACAGGUGUUGGCAUUCGAAGGUAUCUCUUGCGGUUCUUGUUCAAAACUCAAGAUGGGAGAAGAAAAGUUGACAGAAGAAGAGAAGAAGAUGAGCAUGGAUGAAAGGCUUGACAAGAUCAACAAUGAAAUUUAUUUGUUGUAUAAAAUGUGUUUAGAUAAUGGGUACAAGCCCAAAGAAAUAGAGCAGUUUGCCCAGCCCAUUCUUAGCAGUGUGACAGAGGCUAGGAGAAGACGGUACAUGAAGCGGAUGUUAUUUGGAGCUGUUGUUUUAGCUCUGAUAGCAUGUUUCAUAUACUACGAACCGGUGUAUCGUGGUAUUCAGUUCUACUUUAGGGUUGGACUAAUGAAUCUUCUUCCCUACUGGAACUGGAGUAAGCUGUACAACAGAGAGUGCCUGGUAGACAACCCAUUCUAUGAAGGUGAUAAGUUGACUGAAGAAGAUUGCAAGCUGUGUGCAAAUCUGACUGAUAUCCCUCGUCUUCAAAAUGUCAGUGAAGCAGACAUGGCAGACAAGUACAUUACUCCAGAGGUCCCAGUGAUUAUAACAGAUGCUAUGGAGAACUGGCCUGCUAGAGACUUGUUUUCUUUAGAGUGGCUGAUAGAACAAUACGAAAAUGUACCUCAGCUGAAGAAAGGGCGAUAUUGUGACUAUUAUAGCAAUUACAAGUUGAAAUUAGGAUCUGUGAAAAUUUUUCUGAAGGCUAUAGCAACUGGGAAGCUCAAAAAGUUCUAUGCUAGAUGGGAAAACUGUGACAAGGCCACAGCCAAAGUAUUUCGUGAGUACUACAACAACAGACCAUAUUUUCUGCCUCCCAUGGUGGAGCAAGCAGACAGCAAUAUGUUUGUCAUUUCCUCAAAUUACACACAAGGAAAAUACAAGCCUAUUUAUACUGAUAGUUCCUUGAUUUGGUAUGCACAGAUUAAAGGAGCUGCAGAGAUCAGAAUUAAAGCAUACAGUCCAUGUAAUGCCACGUGCCCUGAACUAAAAACAACUCUUCAUCCUGGGGAAAUCUUGGUCGUGUCACAGAUGCUAUGGAUGCUGGAUGUAAUGGUGAAUGACCCCGGUGAAAGUAUUGCCAUUGCUGCUGGGGGGAAAUAUGAUACUGUCCCCGCUACAUAGUAAUUAUGCCUUCUACCACUGAUGGCUGUUAUGUUGACCUAUAUUAUUACAUUUUUUUUUGGACAACAUGUGGACCCAGUGGAUCCAGAUAAUGUUCUUCCUGAGGUGAUUUUAUAAAAUGAGAUGGUAUACACUUCCUGAUAAUCAUUGAUGGAAGUCUGAUGGAGUCUGAUGAUUUUGAUGCUGUGCUGUACCUGAACUGCAAUAGUCAAUUUUUGUUUUUGGCCAUUGCUUGACUUAUUGUCAUUAUAUUAGUGAAAAGUUUGUAUUACUUUUACGCCUAUCAGUUGGGAUAAACGUAUAAUACUAAAGAAGAAAAUGGCAUAAUCAAAUAUUGUUUAACUUUUAAAAAGAUUUGCUUUAGUUGUCAUUUGAUACCAAAAUUUUUAAAAAUUUUGUUAAAGUAAUUAUGGAACUGAUUAAAGAAUGAAAAUGAUUGUGAUAAGAAUAUAUCAAGUAUUACUCCUAAUUUCCCAUUAAGAAUCUCCACUUAUAUUUUGCAGCAUGCAAUUUUCUGGAAUGCUUACAGUGUAGUGAUAUUAACGUUAGACCUAACUUUAUUUGUUAUUCAGGCACUAGUUUUAGAAUUAUUCUUUUUAUUUUCAAAUAUCUGUGACUUUAGGGAGAUAGAUUUGUAUUCAGACAACUUUUUUUAUUCAGAUACUGUUAAGAUUUUUUUUGUUAAAUGUUACUGUCCUGUUUUCUUUCUUAAUUCAAACUCCACUGUUUUUAACGUUUUAGUUUUACAAUUAAGGUGAAAAAAGGGAUUUUUGAUUAUUACUAUAACAUUUUAUUCAGCUUAUUAAGAGAAUCUCGGCCUCAAAAUCAGAGACAAAUUUCAUUUGUUUUGAAAUAUAAUAAUGAAAAAAAUAAAUAAAUAAAUGACAGCAGAACAAUGCCAGUUACUAUGUAAACUGAAGACUAGUUGUUAAAAAAUGUUUAUUUGCAAGUAAAAUAGAUAUCGAUAUUAAACAAUAAUAUAGAGAAUUAAAUUCACUAAAUGAGUAAUUAAUAAAGUCUUUAAUUAAAAUUGUAAAGAUGAAAUAAAACAUUUGGUACUUAGAGGAUAUUUAAAAAUACAUUGA